rnacentral:sRNA from 1 species
GCUCAAAAUGUUAGCGUAAAAUAUCAAAUAUCUAACAAAAAUGUACGACUACCGAUAUCAAAACUGUCGAUAUAUCAAUAAAGGCGCUCUGGACAUGCAACUCUUCUAAAACAGCACAUUACACACACUGACAUGGCCAAUAUUUAUAAUUGAUUCAUCCAUUGUCAAAAUUCCAGUCAGUGGGGACAACCGAAAUAUCCUUUUGUUCUAUGACGCAGACAUUCACAAUGUGCGAACAUAUUUAACAUUUAUUCAGCACUAAAUACUAUUCAAAAAAAGGAUGAUAGGAUACUAAAUUAGUUUUUUACACUGUUUAUUGGUUGGAUCUUUUCAUGUUUAUUUUCUUGUUGUAAAUUUAGUGUAGCAUUACACGCGUUAUUUUGUAUAAAAAAAAAA